GUGUGUUUGCAUGUGUGUGUGUUUUCUCGUUAGUCACACUGGCUCUUGUUGGAUUUGUGUGUGUUUUUGUUUGUUUGUUUUUUUUUUUUUCCAUUUGCACAAGGUCACAUUCAGAGCUCUUCCUCCCUUAGGAGAGGUUGCACAUUCGUCACUUCAUCUGCCUCCCAUUUCCUCCAGUUGGGAUCACACAGCCCUUCCUGAGACUAAGCUGAAAGCGUUUCCUCUCACCGGAGAGAGGGCCCUGCACAGCUGGGGGCCAGGCUGCUCAGCUCAAGCAAAAGCUGUCCCAAGAGGAACAAGUCACCAGCCAAGGAAGUCUGGAAGCUCAGAGAGGAAUUCAUUGAGGCCUUUACGGGCAGCAGCGGUCAGAACUAGGAUCAUAGACUGGGCCAUGAAGCUCGGUAAUUUAUUUGAUUAAUAGGAAGGACUAGACCGGAGACACCUAGAUUUUUGCAAAUAUAUUUUUCAAAUUGUGCAUAUAUUUACUGAAACUCUGUGUGGUUUUCAACAGCUUGGGUGUCUAAUCUUUCGCCCCAUAUUCCCAGCCUUCUAAAGCACUCCUGGCAGUAUUAAGAACUGGCCGGGCAUGGUGGCUCACACCUGUAUCCCAGCACUUUGGGAGGCUGAGGCGGGUGGAUCACAAGGUCAGGAGUUCAAGACCAGCCUGGCCAACAUAGUGAAACUAUGUUUCUACUAAAAAUACAAAAAAUAAUUAGCCAGGCCUGGUGGCAGGC
rnacentral:lncRNA from 1 species